rnacentral:rRNA from 1 species
GAUGAACGCUGGCGGCGUGCCUAAUACAUGCAAGUCGAGCGAACAGACGAGGAGCUUGCUCCUCUGACGUUAGCGGCGGAAGGGUGAGUAACACGUGGAUAACCUACCUAUAAGACUGGGAUAACUUCGGGAAACCGGAGCUAAUACCGGAUAACAUGUUGAACCGCAUGGUUCAACAGUGAAAGACGGUCUUGCUGUCACUUAUAGAUGGAUCCGCGCCGCAUUAGCUAGUUGGUAAGGUAACGGCUUACCAAGGCAACGAUGCGUAGCCGACCUGAGAGGGUGAUCGGCCACAUUGGAACUUGGUCACGGUCCAAACUCCUACGGGAAGCAGCAGUACGGGAUCUUCCGCUAUUGUCGAAAUCCUUACAGAACAACGCCGCGUGAGUGGCGAAGGUCUUCAGAUCGUGAAACUCUGUUAUUAGGGAAUAACAAAUGUGUAAGUAACUGUGCACGUCUUGACGUUACCUAAUCAGAAUACCACGGCUAACUACGUG